rnacentral:rRNA from 1 species
CACGGGGGGAGCAAGCGUUGUUCGGAGUCACUGGGCGUAAAGGGCGUGUAGGCGGUCAGGUAAGUGGAAUGUGAAAGCCCUCGGCUCACCCGAGGAUCUGCAUUCCAAACUGCCUGGCUUGAGUAUGGGAGAGGAUGAGGGAAUUCCUGGUGUAGCGGUGAAAUGCGUAGAUAUCAGGAGGAACACCGGUGGCGAAGGCGCUCAUCUGGCCCAAUACUGACGCUGAGGCGCGAAAGCGUGGGGAGCGAACAGG